GAUCAAGACCUCCUUCUGCCUCGGGGGCGACCCGGUCCUCCGGGCCCGCGGUCCCCCCGGUGGUCACCAACACAACCCUGCAUCAAUGGUCGUCCGAGCGUGAAGCGAAAUCAAUCAAAACUUUCAACAACGGAUCUCUUGGUUCUGGCAUCGAUGAAGAACGCAGCGAAAUGCGAUAAGUAAUGUGAAUUGCAGAAUUCAGUGAAUCAUCGAAUCUUUGAACGCACAUUGCGCCCUUUGGCAUUCCGAAGGGCAUGCCUGUUCGAGCGUCAUUACACCAAUCACGCCUGGCGUGGUGUUGGACGACGGGGCCGCCGCGCGCGGCCCCGCGCCCCGAUGACCUUCCGGCGGGACGGACCGAAUCUCAGCGUUGUGGUCACAAGCCGCUGGCGAGACGGGACGGCCGGGCCGUUAAACAACCCCCCUCACAAAGUUGACCUCGGAUCAGGUAGGGAUACCCGCUGAACUUAAGCA
rnacentral:rRNA from 1 species